AACGCGAAGAACCUUACCUACCCUUGACAUGAACGGAAUCCAGAAGAGAUGGGGAAGUGCUCGAAAGAGAACCGGGGCACAGUUGCUGCAUGUCUGUCGUCAGCUCGUGUCGUGAGAUGUUGGGUUAAGUCCCGCAACGACCGCAACCCUUGUCAUUAGUUGGUACGCAAGGGCACUCUAAGGAGACUGCCGGUGACAAACCGGAGGAAGGUGGGGAUGACGUCAAGUCCUCAUGGCCCUUAUGGGUAGGGCUUCACACGUCAUACAAUGGUCGGUACAGAGGGUUGCCAACCCGCGAGGGGGAGCUAAUCCCAGAAACCCGAUCGUAGUCCGGAUCGCAGUCUGCAACUCGACUGCGUGAAGUCGAGAAUCGCUAGUAAUCGCAUAUCAAAUGCCGCGGUGAAUACGUUCCCGGGUCUUGUACACACCG
rnacentral:rRNA from 1 species